CUGCGAAAGGUUAUUUAUGCUGCGUUUCUCUCGACCUUACCCUGGCCUAGAUGACACCCGUGAGCGGGGAGGGAAUGAUCAUUAUUACAGGUACAGUUGGUGACUUGUUGGUGACUUGUUGUGAUCCUGUUGGUGACUAUUGGUUCAGAAUUUUGGGGUCUCAGAUGACUUUGGGUUUCAGAUGAAUUUGUGGUUCCGAGUUCAAGCCGAAGCUUUGAUCCUGUGUUCCG
rnacentral:lncRNA from 1 species